UACGUAGGGUGCUAGCGUUGUCCGGAUUUAUUGGGCGUAAAGGGCUCGUAGGCGGCGUGUCGCGUCGGGGAGUGAAAGCCCGCUGCUUAACGGCGGGUUGGCUUCCGGUACGGGCAUCGCUGGAGUGCGGCAGGGGAGACUGGAAUUCCUGGUGUAGCAGUGAAAUGCGUAGAUAUCAGGAGGAAUACCGAUGGCGAAGGCAGGUCUCUGGGCUGACACUGACGCUCAUGCACGAAAGCGUGGGGAGCAAACAGG
rnacentral:rRNA from 1 species